GGUCUUCUGAUCGGGUCAAUAGGCUUAGUCCCAAGUUUAAUUGGGUUUAAUUUUGGUUCAGGGUCAAUGUGGCUCAUUUGGGCCUGAGUCAAGGUCAACCCGAGGUCAAUUUGGCCUCAAAUUAGUUGAAUUGGGUUUAAAUUGGGCCUGAUUCAUAUUCAAUUGGGUCUGCUGGAACUAACUCAACUUAAUUGGAUUCGGACCCAAAUUAAUUUGGGCUUAAUUCGGUUCGGAUUUGACCCAAUUUGCAGUUUGGGCUCGUCCAGACUUAGCCCAAUCUGAUUGGGCUCGGGUUCAGGUUCAAUUGGCUAAACCAAUUUCUU
rnacentral:lncRNA from 1 species